CCUACGGGAGGCAGCAGUGGGGAAUAUUGCACAAUGGGGGAAACCCUGAUGCAGCGACGCCGCGUGAGUGAAGAAGUAUCUCGGUACGUAAAGCUCUAUCAGCAGGGAAGAAAAUGACGGUACCUGACUAAGAAGCCCCGGCUAACUACGUGCCAGCAGCCGCGGUAAUACGUAGGGGGCAAGCUUUAUCCGGAUUUACUGGGUGUAAAGGGAGCGUAGACGGCAGCACAAGUCUGGAGUGAAAUCCCGGGGCUUAACCCCGGAACUGCUUUGGAAACUGUGCGGCUGGAGUGCAGGAGGGGUAAGCGAAAUUCCUGGGGAAGCGGUGAAAUGGGUAGAUAAUAGGAGGAACACCGGGGGGGAGGGCGGCUUACUGGACUGUAACUGACGUUGAGGCUCGAAAGCGUGGGGAGCAAACAGGAUUAGAUACCCUUGUAGUC
rnacentral:rRNA from 1 species